rnacentral:snRNA from 1 species
GUACUUAACCUGGGAGGGGCAGUAAGGUGACCACGAAAGUGGUUCUCCCAUUGUGAGGUUCCACAUGUGCUGACCUUGCAGUUGUCCCCAAACGAGGGAGACUCAACUGUAUAAUUGUGGUAGGAGGGGACUGUGGACUGCAUUCUGUUCUUCCCUCA